rnacentral:rRNA from 1 species
GGAAUAUUGGUCAAUGGGCGCAAGCCUGAACCAGCCAUGCCGCGUGCAGGAAGAAUGCCCUAUGGGUUGUAAACUGCUUUUAUUUGGGAAUAAACCUCUUUACGUGUAGAGAGCUGAAGGUACCAAAUGAAUAAGCACCGGCUAACUCCGUGCCAGCAGCCGCGGUAAUACGGAGGGUGCAAGCGUUAUCCGGAAUCAUUGGGUUUAAAGGGUCCGCAGGCGGAUUUAUAAGUCAGUGGUGAAAUCCUAUCGCUUAACGAUAGAACUGCCAUUGAUACUGUAAGUCUUGAAUUCGGUCGGAGUGGGCGGAAUGUGUAGUGUAGCGGUGAAAUGCAUAGAUAUUACACAGAACACCGAUAGCGAAGGCAGCUCACUAGGCCUGAAUUGACGCUCAGGGACGAAAGCGUGGGGAUCAAACAGGAUUAGAUACCCUGGUAGUCCACGCUGUAAACGAUGAUUACUCGUUUUCGGCGAUAUACAGUCGGAGACUAAGCGAAAGUGAUAAGUAAUCCACCUGGGGAGUACGAUCGCAAGGUUGAAACUCAAAUGAAUUGACGG